rnacentral:rRNA from 1 species
GGGGGGGGGGGGGGGGGGGGGGGGGGGGGGGGGGGGGGGGGGGGGGGGGCGGCGUGGGGGGGGGGCUCGGGUGGCGAGCGGGUGAGUGACACGGGGGUAACCUGCCCUUGACUGUGGGAUAACUUCCGGAAACUGGGGCUAAUACCGGAUAGGAGCUCCUGCUGCAUGGUGGGGGUUGGAAAGUUUCGGCGGUUGGGGAUGGACUCGCGGCUUAUCAGCUUGUUGGUGGGGUAGUGGCUUACCAAGGCUUUGACGGGUAGCCGGCCUGAGAGGGUGACCGGCCACAUUGGGACUGAGAUACGGCCCAGACUCCUACGGGAGGCAGCAGUGGGGAAUAUUGCACAAUGGGCGGAAGCCUGAUGCAGCAACGCCGCGUGCGGGAUGACGGCCUUCGGGUUGUAAACCGCUUUCGCCUGUGACGAAGCGUGAGUGACGGUAAUGGGUAAAGAAGCACCGGCUAACUACGUG